rnacentral:lncRNA from 1 species
AAAAUUAUAUAUCUACUAGAAAGGAAAAAUAUCUCCUCUACCACGUCUUUAGUGAUCCAAAAUUAUAUCUCUACUAAAAAGGAGAAAGAUCUCCUCUACUACGUCUUCUCCGAUCCAGCGUCGACGACUUUUAGCGGCUGCCGUGAAACUCCUCUCCCAUGGCCCUGAUUGUUUAAUUCCACGGUGUCCAACAACAGUAAUUGUCUCUGCAUAUUAUUCACACCGUCAGUUUUUGGCGCCGCCUCAUCGGCAACAGCCGGCACUCCGGCCAGGUUCUCUAUACGAACGUCCUGCCAAUCUGAUGCAGCAUCAAACAAAGCGCAAUUCAUUUUCUAAUUGAUCUACAAGCAUGAUACAUCUCUGUCCGUCUCAGCCUCUUAGGUAAAAAGAAGUAAUUCUUUUUUGUACCAGGUGAGCACCAUCAACUUGAUCACAUGGCCGUCUUCCUCCAUCCGAUCUACUACAUGCUAGGAAGUCGGCUAACCCAGCGACUUUAUCAUUUACAUAAUUUUGUUUUGCUGGACCUAUUUUUCUAAGCCAAUCAAUGAAGGGGCUUCUGCUACUACUACCUUCGGCUCCAACAAACUAUGUGCAAUGUAGAUACGUACGGUAGUCAUUAGGGCAUUUUCAUUAUUUCGAGAACAAGGCUGGAAAGGUACGUACAGUUCAAGCAUCUCAUAAUAAUUUGUGAGAAAGAACAUUACCAUGGUUUCCCUUACAUUGUAAUUGGUAAUUUUCAUUUAAUUUUCAUUAUAAAGAUUUUCUCAUUUUCUUCUGAACUAUGAGGCUUGCUCUAGCGCGUAAGUUGAAGUACUUCUUCCAUCAUCAAGAACUACCUCGGACUCCUCCCAGCCUGUCUCACAUCAACAAGAAAUACAACAACAAGAAAGCCGAUGGAAUCACUACAUAUUCCCAUAUUCCAAUUAAGCAGCUAGCUGUGAGGUAGGUUUAUACUACUGGAGGGAGAAGUUAUAAAACCGAGAUUUAUACUACUGGAACUUGAUGUACUAUCCUCACUUUGUGUCAUAUUGCAGGCUUGCUCUCAGUUAUGAGGAUUCAUCGACAAUGUAAAUUUGUGGGUAUUAGCUAGUUACUUAAUCAUCAUUUUUAUGUAUUUUUUUUAGAUUUAUUGAAGCACAAUGUAUUGUAUGCGUGCAAUUGCAUGGUUGGUUUUCGUAAAGAUCGCAAAAAUAUUAAGUUUAAUGGAAUUGGAAACCAUCUCCAUACAGUUGUAGUUCUUAGCAUGAUAUUGCAUUUUCAGUUUUGCAUUUGGGAAUGGUGUAUGAGGAAGUCUGGCAUGGAUUCUUAAAAUUAUCACAUCUGGAUUCUCAUGUGUAUAACAUAUGUUCUUCUCUUGCACUUUAUCUGAUAUGUUGUACGGUGCAUUUAGCAGUGUGUAGUUCAAGAUUUUCUCCAACUUCAACUGAAGUACCAAAUUUUAUAUUGUGUGAGUGUCGUCUCCAUAUAUUCGGUAGGUUUGUAAUGAGAUCAAAUUCACUUGGACACUAUAGUAUCCAUUCUGAUUAUUCUAAUUGU